CCCUCGGGCUGGCGGAGGCGCCGGAGGAGCCCCCGAGCUGCAGCCGUCUCCCUCGGGCUGCUGCCGGUGCUGCGGGCGGAGGCGGCUCCGCCGCGUGUUGGGCGCUGCGAGCAGGGAGCGCUGCGGUAUCGCCGGCAUGACGGGGUUGCUGCCUGCGUUAGUGCUCGUGGCUCUUUGUGCCGUGACAGCGGAUGGAGCGGCGCUGAGCGGUAAAGCCAGAGAUGGCCGGGAGAAUGCCCAGCGCAGGGAGCGGGCGGGCUGUAUGCUUCGGAUGGCACAGGAUACUCAGAAAAUAUGUCUCCCUUAGAGUCCCACAGAAACGUUCUCAGUGCGAUCUCUAUCAAGGGAUCGGUGAAUUUUAACUUUGGAGUCCCCUAUGCUAAGGAUGCUCAGCUUACAGGUGAUGAAAUGUUCAGUAAUGUAUUUGCUGCAGCUCUGCUUACCCAAGCUUUGGGUUCCUUCUGUCCCACUGGGAGUUGCCCAAUUUGGUUGCAUCUGGUGAAAUUCACCCUGAGACCUUACAGAAGCAGCUCCAACUACGUGAGAGCCAUUUGCAGUUCUCUCCAGAUGCCUGGAGAAUGGGCGACGUUUCUGAGGAUCCGGCGAGCGUGCUUCUGUCAAAACUCAGUCUGUGAAAUUCCUGGGGAAAACCCUUCUGUGUCCUGAAGGGUUCAAACUCUGGGAAAGACUCUCGUGUCCUUGUCGUCGGGCUCGGUGCUGUCCAAGAAGAUACGGGGACUAAAAAAAUCAUAAGAAGCAAAAUACGACUGCAGGGAAAAGAAGCUGGAGAGAACAGAAGAGCCCUGUUGUACUAAUCUUCAUACAAGUACAAAACAACAAAUCAGACCCUGUCCCAACCACUUAGAGCCCAGAACACGAUUUCCUCGGGCUGCCAUUUGUGUGCCAUCGGUACUCACCGUGGAAGGGAGCUGGGGAUUGUUGCAGCUGUUGGGAACGAACUGCUUCUCGUCACACAGAAAUGGAAUUGGGACGACGCCUCGGCCAGCCCCUCUGUGCCAUCGUCUCCUGAAUCUGCAGCAGAGCAGUUCCAGUCCAUCCGGGCACGUGUAAUCCAGUUCCUGAUGAUCUGAGCACACAGAGCAGCGCUCAGCUGCUGUGGGGGGCUCAGGGAGGGCAGAGUGUGCAUUGUCAUCUUCCUGAACCUACAGACAAAUCAAAGUGAGAAGCCACAGCGUGGAAAUCAGUCACAUAUAUGCUAAAUAAAACUUGCAGAUUUUUUUAAGAA